AAGUGGGGUUCUCUAGAAGAGAAUAAGAUCAAAUCUAGGCUAAGUAAGGAUGGCCCUCUUCCACCUCACAGGAAAUCAUACAGAAGAUCCCAUGUGCCAGACUAUAAACACUCUCUGUAGCAUCCAGACUAGGAACUGCUGGCCCACAGAUGCUGCCUAUUUGCACUCUUAUCCAGACAGAUGCAAAGCAAGAGGGAGGAGAGUUGUCAGUGGCCAAUUCUAGCCAGAGCUUCACUCAUUGCCAAGAGGGAAAAGGAGAUGAAAUUGAAUGACAGCAGAGCUGGCAGAUCUCAUUGCUCAUGGAUGAUUUCUCAGGUCCUUCAGGUCUCUAAGAGAGACCUGAGGUGCACUUCCCAGGAAAAAGUCCUUCUGUUUGAUAUAUGGAUAACCAAGAGUACUUCCCACCCUAGUCCUCGUCAACCUUCCUGUUGCAUAUGUGAGGAGAGGGAGAAGGACUGGAGGGAGUCUGAGUUAAAAUACACGAUGCUGUGCUUGAUAAAGGCCUUCCUGUCCUAACAUUUCCUUUGCUGGGUAGGUAAACAAGCUUGUCUGAUCCUAAGGGCUAUGUUCAGAGAUGGGAGCAGGCAGAAUAAUGCCUCCCACCCCAGAUGUCCAUGUUCUAAUUCCUGUUAGGUUACAAAGCAAAGAUGGAAUCAAAAUUGCUAAACCACUAAGCUUGAGAUUGGGAUAUUAUCUGGGAUUAUCUGAGUGGGUUCAUAUAAAUAGAAGAAAGACAUGGAAGAGAAAAAAUAUGCAGGGAGAUGGCAGCAUGAGAACGACUUGACUCAACAUUGAUGACUCUGAAGGCAGAGGAAAGAACCAGGAGCUGAGUGGCCUCUAUGAGCUGGAAUGGGUAAAGAACUGAGAUCUCCCUGAGAGCUUCCAGAAGGAAUGCAGCCUGCUGAUACCUGGCCUUAGCUCAGGGAGGAUGCUGGAUUUCUGAUCUACAGAACUGUAGGAUAAUAAAUGCAUAUUGUUUGAAGCAACUAGGUUUGUGGUCAUUUGUCACAGCAGCAACAGAAAAUUAAUGUAUUGAAUUCACUUUCAUCAGGAAUAAAGUUAAUGAUGAUAGCUAGUAUUUUUUGAGUGCUUACCAUGUGGUAGCCAUUUUUCUGAGCACUUCAUAUGUAUUAACUCAUUUAGUCAUCUGUAAUUAUCCUGUGAGGUGGAGUAACUUGUGAAAGGUCAUUAUUACUGGAAGCUGUACAGCCAGGAUUUAAACCCAGCUGAUUGGUUCCAGUGAGAUAACACCUAAAAUCCUAUAUUGCCUCUUGGAUUGAUCUUGUAGAUAUUUACUUAUGGAAGCAAUGAACUUGAAGUCACGCAUAUUCACCUUUAAUUUUUUGGCCCUGUUGCUUCCAAUUUGUAAGAACUUACACAAUCUGCAUAGUUUAGCUGAGGCUUAACAUGUCCACACAGUGGGAGUAAUGUGACCCACCUACAAGGACAUGAGAAUCAAACACGAUGGUCCUGAUAUAUAGUAGGUAACAGAACACAUUUGCUGA
rnacentral:lncRNA from 1 species